rnacentral:lncRNA from 1 species
AAUAUUUUCAUUCGAUUCUUUGGGGUCGGUUUACCCUGUGAAAGUUUUUGUCCCGAAGCUCAAUUCUCCGCCGUUUUCGAGAAAAAGAUAGUGGACGGGUGGUCUGAAACACCUGGUAUAUACAUAAUAUAUAACGGCGAUGAGUAUUUGAUUGGAGAAGCUUAGUAAGGGAGCAAAUAAAAUUUUCAAUUUUUUUUUACUUACUCAUAUUUUAAUUAUUUUUUUUAGAUGAGCGAAGAGGUUGAAUCAGUCUCUAAGGCAAAAGGCGGAAGAGUCCAGCGAAAAAACGAAAGAAGAAGAAACAGGACUUCGGACCGGACUUCGACUUGUACUAUUCUCAAACUUUCGAUCGCUUAUCAGAUGAACAUCCCGAGCUGAAAGAAGAGGAUAUUGAGAAAUAUCUGCGGAAAGUUUGGCUGUCGAUGGAUGACAAUCAAAAACUCCAGUUAGUAGCUUUGAUUUUUUUCCUGCUUUUUAGAAAUAUUUGUCUUUCAAAAUGGAAGAAAUGAAAGAAAAAACCAAAAUAAUUAUUAACUCUGUUUUAAAAAAAAGAAAAGAAAAAAAAACGUAAGCUACAUCAAAGAUGCUACUAAAGUCAGCUACUUAAUCCAAAGUGGCCAAUAUGGAUUUUAGUCCGCAUGUUUGAAGGUAAGUAAUUUUGGGGGAAAAACUGCUGAUACCUUCCAUCGCUAUGUAGCCGGUGUCUUCCCUCACCUAACUCGAGCAACGUUGACGCUAUCUUUUCAUGUUCUUUUAGGUACCAACCACGAUUUGUGAAGGAUGAUUCUUCGGAGGAAGAAAAAGAAAGUGAAGAAGAAAGCGAGGAAAAUGAAGAGGAAGGCGACCCAUGCAGCUCUGACCCGGCCGUAACAGAGAGCAUCGAUAGACUGUCCUCCUCCUCCCCACCCCCUAUUGUGGAAGCAGUCUCCAAAAGGGGGAAAAACAACAGCUUGUUCAGGGGUUUCAAAAAUGAGAAGGUGUGCGUGUUUUGUGAGAAAAGCGGUGAGACAUUCAAGUGCCAAGGUUUUUGCUGCGGCUAUUUUCAUAAAGACUGUAUCUCGAAAAGCAGAUCUGACAGUGCUCCAGUUGCUUCGAAGAAAGAAGAUAAAAAUUCAGGGAAAUCAAAUUCCGAGGCGGAGUUCCGUAACGAAUCCAGGACAGUUUCCGAGCCCAAAAUAGCAUCCAUGAAGAAAAAGAGUGUUCUAAAUCAAAUAACGGUGUUGAAACAAAGCCAGACGGCGCCCUGGAGAAACUCCAAGUUGAUAAGAAGGAAGAAAACAACAAGGUGAGUAAUUACAUUCGUCCACAUUGUUGCGCAAAGUGGUAGCUGUGUGACUUUUGAUUUAAUUUAACCUUUCUGUACCCAGAAUUAGUAUUUCAACAGGCAAAAGUUAGUACGUUUGAACACUUAUAAAUAAUUCUAAACUCAUUUCUGUUGUUGAAAAUCAACGUACUGCACAUUAAUCUCUUAUUUUUAAAGGAAACAGGGCAAAAAUUUAGUAAAAAUCAUUUUGUGUUGUUGAUUUAUUGCUGUCAAAGUCAAGAAAAUCUUAUAAUCAGCAAAUUUCAGGAAAAUUUGAAAUUAUCAAAUGUUCAACAGCGCAAUAUUAUGCAAAUACCAAAACAAAGCAAUAACCUACUCUACAAAUUAA